CCUACGGGUGGCAGCAGUGAGGAAUAUUGGUCAAUGGGCGCGAGCCUGAACCAGCCAAGUCGCGUGAGGGAAGACGGUCCUAUGGAUUGUAAACCUCUUUUGUCGAGGAGCAAACCACGCCACGCGUGUCCUUCCGAGAGUACCCUACGAAUAAGCAUCGGCUAACUCCGUGCCAGCAGCCGCGGUAAUACGGAGGAUGCGAGCGUUAUCCGGAUUUAUUGGGUUUAAGGGGUGCGCAGGCGGAAGAUCAAGUCAGCGGUAAAAUUGAGAGGCUCAACCUCUUCGAGCCGUUGAAACUGGUGUUCUUGAGUGAGUGAGAAGUAGGCGGAAUGCGUGGUGUAGCGGUGAAAUGCAUAGAGAUCACGCAGAACUCCGAUUGCGAAGGCAGCAUACCGGCGCUCAACUGACGCUCAGGCACGAAAGUGUGGGUAUCGAACAGGAUUAGAUACCCCAGUAGUC
rnacentral:rRNA from 1 species